AUUGAACGCUGGCGGCAGGCCUACCACAUGCAAGUCGAACGGUAACAGGAAGCAGCUUGCUGCUUCGCUGACGAGUGGCGGAAGGGUGAGUAAUGUCUGGAAGCUGCCUGAUGGAGGGGGAUAACUACUGGAAACGGUAGCUAAUACCGCAUAAUGUCGCAAGACCAAAGAGGGGGAACUUCGGGCCUCUUGCCAUCGGAUGUGCCCAGAUGGGAUUAGCUUGUUGGUGGGGUAACGGCUCACCAAGGCGACGAUCCCUAGCUGGUCUGAGAGGAUGACCAGCCACACUGGAACUGAGACACGGUCCAGACUCCUACGGGAGGCAGCAGUGGGGAAUAUUGCACAAUGGGCGCAAGCCUGAUGCAGCCAUGCCGCGUGUAUGAAGAAGGCCUUCGGGUUGUAAAGUACUUUCAGCGGGGAGGAAGGGAGUAAAGUUAAUACCUUUGCUCAUUGACGUUACCCGCAGAAGAAGCACCGGCUAACUCCGUG
rnacentral:rRNA from 1 species